rnacentral:rRNA from 1 species
UACGUAGGGUGCAAGCGUUGUCCGGAAUUAUUGGGCGUAAAGAGCUUGUAGGCGGUCUGUUGCGUCGGCUGUGAAAACCCGGGGCUCAACUCCGGGCCUGCAGCCGAUACGGGCAGACUAGAGUUCGGCAGGGGAGACUGGAAUUCCUGGUGUAGCGGUGAAAUGCGCAGAUAUCAGGAGGAACACCGGUGGCGAAGGCGGGUCUCUGGGCCGAUACUGACGCUGAGGAGCGAAAGCGUGGGGAGCAAACAGG